rnacentral:rRNA from 1 species
UACGUAGGGUGCGAGCGUUGUCCGGAAUUACUGGGCGUAAAGAGCUCGUAGGUGGUUUGUCGCGUUGUCCGUGAAAACUCACAGCUUAACUGUGGGCGUGCGGGCGAUACGGGCAGACGUGGAGUACUGCAGGGGAGACUGGAAUUCCUGGUGUAGCGGUGGAAUGCGCAGAGUAUCGAGGAGGAACACCGGUGGCGAAGGCGGGUCUCUGGGUCGGCCCUGAGCGCUGAGGCGGCGAAAGCGUGGGGAGCGAACGGG